AGUGAGAUAGCUGGGUCAAAUGGUGGUUCAUUCCAAUUUUUCCAAGAAAUCUCCACACUGCUUUCCAAAAUGGCUGCACCAAUUUCAGUCCCACCAGCAAU
rnacentral:pre_miRNA from 1 species